UACGGAAGGGGCAAGCGUUGUUCGGAAUCAUUGGGCGUAAAGGGCGCGUAGGUGGUUCUGUAUGUCUACCGUGAAAGCAUACAGCUCAACUGUAUUUUGUCGGUAGAAACUGCAGGACUUUGAGGCUGGGAGGGGCUGGUGGAAUUCCCUGUGUAGCGGUGAAAUGCGUAGAGAUGGGGGAGAACACUCGUGGCGAAGGCGGCCAGCUAGACCAGUUCUGACACUGAGGCGCGACAGCGUGGGGGAGCAAACAGG
rnacentral:rRNA from 1 species